CACUGGUGCCAGAGGUGACUGCAGGGAGCAGGGCUCCAAGGCAGGCCUGGCCACAAAGCCCCAGCCGGUGGGGUCCUGCAACCUUCUGCCCCUUCCUACCUGGAGUGUUUGCAGCAGGACCUGCAACCCACUGGCUUCCUGUUCCGCCAUCACUUCCUCGGGUCCGGGAAUCGGCUGCCUGAGGCCAGAUCUGGGCUGGAGAGAGGCAGUGGCUGCCAGGCUGACCUCGCUGCCCGCCUCGAGGGAGACUGCAGCCCGGAGAGGGGCCUCAGCUGCACAUGCUGCCUGCCGAGUGUGAAGUGACCGUGCUGCAACCCUAGCCCUGGGCCUGCGCGGAUGCCCCCCGACUCCCACUGCGGGGAUUAGGAUGAAACAUAACAGAGCCAGCUGGAAGCUUCUUCCCCUGGAUCCUCAACACCAACUGUGCAAAAAUAAGGUAAUAGACUUGGCUACACAAAGCUGAAAAUGAAAAGGCUUGGCGGUUUAGCCAGAGGGAAGAACCAUCCCUUUAUGGACGUCAUUCAGUGUUCUUGCCUCCUCUCUUUUUAAAGAAAAGUUAGUCAUCAUCUGUAUCAAUGUUCCCAGUCUGUAAUAUGUCAUUUUUCUUUGGCUGCUUUCAAAGAAUUCUUCUCUUUGACUUUUGGCAGAUUUACA